UGUGCUCUUAAGUCUUGGUUGAACAGUAAACGUCUCAUCGGAAAACUGAGCAGUGGACUUCGUUGGAAGUUCGGUGAGAUCUGUAUCCGACUGGUAGGGGGGUUUUGGAAUAGUGGUGUGCGGACAGUCUACCGCGGCGGAGCAAGACUUGGUAGCACUAGGUCUACGGGGAUGAACCAUAAAUGAAGGAUCCUCGACAGAGAGGUACAAUGUCUUGUCUAUAGGUAAAUUUUCGUCACUGCCAGAAACAUCGGAAGAAGAACUCGAAGAUAACGAAUCAGAAUUUGAAUCAUUCUUUAUACUCAUAGAGGACACCGAAUAAAGAGAAUCGCUUGAGGAAGAUUUACGACUUUUGCUAAGAUGGUAAUGUGUACCGAGAGUAUCAAAACUUCCGCGACCUUCGUUAUAGCGGCUUGCAUGUUGAGAAGAGGAACCCAUGGAAGCAGAUAAAGCUUUGAUAUCCGGAAUACCAUCAGGUACCUCCAGGGUAGACUUUGGGCUGUGUUUGACACGUCUACCACGAUGUUUCUUGUUCGACUGUGGUUUCUUUGAAUCCGAACAAGAACCGCAUGUCGGGCAAACAUGCAACGUGUCCAUAUCAGCAGAGGAACUCUGAGUGGCGGGUAUUUUCUUCCUGGAUGCUUUGCGAUUCCUUCGAGAACGCUUCUUUUUCUUGGGCUUUUGAGGCACCAUUUCAGAUUCAUGAAGUUCUAUUUCAGACUCCUGAGGUACGGCAUAUGCAGAAGGAGUGGCAUAAGUUGUCUGAGACGAAACGGGACUUUGCACAUUUGCUUCAAGAUGCUGAGAUGAUUGAACCUGCAUAUUUCUCUCAGGUUCAAAUGGAGAAACACGAGGAGUACUUACCGAAAUGCCACUUGCAGAGAGGGACGAAACCUGGGUGGACGAAGAAGAAGUAGCUUCGUUGGAGGAGGUUUUCUCUAAUGCAUUGUUGUUUCCUCCUUGAGCUCCGUUGGAAGGUUGUUGAAAAGACAUGUUGGUUGGGGCAUAUAUAAGAAUUAGCCUUUCCUGUCAAAAUAAUAGGUAGCAAAAAAAGAAUGAACUCUAAUGACUGUAAAUGAUUUGAAGCAGAUUAAAAAUAUAAA